rnacentral:rRNA from 1 species
UGGGGAAUUUUGGACAAUGGGCGCAAGCCUGAUCCAGCCAUGCCGCGUGCGGGAAGAAGGCCUUCGGGUUGUAAACCGCUUUUGUCAGGGAAGAAACGCUCCGAGAUAAUACCUUGGAGUAAUGACGGUACCUGGAGAAUAAGCACCGGCCAACUACGUGCCAGCAGCCGCGGUAAUACGUAGGGUGCGAGCGUUAAUCGGAAUUACUGGGCGUAAAGCGUGCGCAGGCGGUCAUGCAAGACAGAUGUGAAAUCCCCGGGCUCAACCUGGGAACCGCAUUUGUGACUGCACGACUCGAGUGCGGCAGAGGGGGAUGGAAUUCCGCGUGUAGCAGUGAAAUGCGUAGAUAUGCGGAGGAACACCGAUGGCGAAGGCAGUCCCCUGGGCCUGCACUGACGCUCAUGCACGAAAGCGUGGGGAGCAA